rnacentral:rRNA from 1 species
CUCUAUGGCCAUGCCACUCUGAAAGCGCCUGAUCUCAUCCGAUCUUGGAUGCUAAGCAGAGUUGGACCUGAUUAGUACUUGGAUGGGAGAUCGCCUGGGAAAACUAGGUGCAGUUGGCU